rnacentral:rRNA from 1 species
AGAGUUGAUCCUGGCUCAGGAUGAACGCUAGCGACAGGCUAACACAUGCAAGUCGAGGGGCAGCAUAAAAGUAGCAAUACUUGGUGGCGACCGGCGCACGGGUGAGUAACGCGUAUGCAACCUACCUAUCAGGAGGGGAAUAACCCGGCGAAAGUCGGACUAAUACCGCAUAAAACAGGGGCACCGCAUGGUGAUAUUUGUUAAAGAAAUUCGCUGAUAGAUGGGCAUGCGUUCCAUUAGGUAGUUGGUGAGGUAACGGCUCACCAAGCCGACGAUGGAUAGGGGAACUGAGAGGUUGGUCCCCCACACUGGUACUGAGACACGGACCAGACUCCUACGGGAGGCAGCAGUGAGGAAUAUUGGUCAAUGGGCGAGGGCCUGAACCAGCCAAGUCGCGUGAAGGAAGAAGGAUCUAUGGUUCGUAAACUUCUUUUGCAGGGGAAUAAAGUGCAGGACGUGUCCUGUUUUGUAUGUACCCUGAGAAUAAGGAUCGGCUAACUCCGUGCCAGCAGCGGC